rnacentral:misc_RNA from 1 species
UUAACGAUUUAACAUUUAACUCAGACGACACCAUUAAAAAGAUUUUGAACUUGGGCUUCGGCAGGCACAGGAGCCUGCCGAAGCAACAGUUUAACUUGCGAGGUACACAAGGGGUUGGAGGUUGGGCCAGGUUAGGACCCUAACUCGGUAAUGAUCCUUCCGCAGGUUCACCUACGGAAA